UAGUAUAAUUAAGUGAACUUCUAAUGUGCCU
rnacentral:piRNA from 1 species